rnacentral:lncRNA from 1 species
ACAACUUCCACUUUUGGUGUUAGCACAUCUUGCCAAGUUAGAAGAAUAACCAUAAGGUAUUCUCAACUCAUUUAACCACUGACAUACUGUUUUAGAUUCUUGGGGAGUAAGAGUGUAAUUAACCUUGGGUUUUAAUAAUUUUCCAUUUGGUCGAGGUUUCAACUCCAAGUCUUUUUGAUUACAUAAAAGUUCCAAGUUCUUUCUAGCCUUCUCAUUAUCUUUUG